rnacentral:rRNA from 1 species
GAUGAACGCUGGCGGCGUGCCUAAUACAUGCAAGUCGAGCGAACAGACGAGGAGCUUGCUCCUCUGACGUUAGCGGCGGACGGGUGAGUAACACGUGGAUAACCUACCUAUAAGACUGGGAUAACUUCGGGAAACCGGAGCUAAUACCGGAUAAUAUAUUGAACCGCAUGGUUCAAUAGUGAAAGACGGUUUUGCUGUCACUUAUAGAUGGAUCCGCGCCGCAUUAGCUAGUUGGUAAGGUAACGGCUUACCAAGGCAACGAUGCGUAGCCGACCUGAGAGAGUGAUCGGCCACACUGGAACUGAGACACGGUCCAGACUCCUACGGGAGGCAGCAGUAGGGAAUCUUCCGCAAUGGGCGAAAGCUUGGCGGAGCAACGCCGCGUGAGUGAUGAAGAUCUUCGGAUCGUAAAACUCUGUUAUUAGGGAAGAACAAAUGUGUAAGUAACUAUGCACGUCUUGACGGUACCUAAUCAGAAAGCCACGGCUAACUACGUG